rnacentral:lncRNA from 1 species
CUAGAAGGCAAAGUAAGGGGGUCCCCCCAUCUUUUGUUUUUGUUUCUAUAAUCCUUGGGGUCCUACACUUACGAUUCUUCAAUUUAUUAAGAAAAGAAUUUGAGCCCCAGAAACAUUCUUCACGCAGAACUUGAAAUGUGGAUGUGUGAAUUUACAUUUGCAAUGGAUCCUUUGGAUUGUGACUUGUAGCCCUACUCAUCACAUGCUGUGUUUUCCUUGUCAAGACGGUCCAAAUGCAUAAUCAAUCCAUGGAUGAAAUGUGCCCACUUGGCUCUUCCAAAUGUUUGAAAAUUUGACUGAAAUGUUGCUUCAUUAGCCUACUUCUCUGACCACAUUCUCCACAUGGCAGAGAUAAGAGAAGUCGGCUAACCUCCCCG